AGUGAACGCUGGCGGUAGGCCUAACACAUGCAAGUCGAACGGCAGCACAGGAGAGCUUGCUCUCUGGGUGGCGAGUGGCGGACGGGUGAGGAAUACAUCGGAAUCUACUUUUUCGUGGGGGAUAACGUAGGGAAACUUACGCUAAUACCGCAUACGACCUACGGGUGAAAGCUGGGGACCUUCGGGCCUUGCGCGAUUGAAUGAGCCGAUGUCGGAUAGCUAGUUGGCGGGGUAAAGGCCCACCAAGGCGACGAUCCGUAGCUGGUCUGAGAGGAUGAUCAGCCACACUGGAACUGAGACACGGUCCAGACUCCUACGGGAGGCAGCAGUGGGGAAUAUUGGACAAUGGGCGCAAGCCUGAUCCAGCCAUACCGCGUGGGUGAGGAAGGCCUUCGGGUUGUAAAGCCCUUUUGUUGGGAAAGAAAUCCAGCUGGCUAAUACCCGGUUGGGAUGACGGUACCCAAAGAAUAAGCACCGGCUAACUUCGUGCCAGCCGCCGCGGUAA
rnacentral:rRNA from 1 species